rnacentral:rRNA from 1 species
AUGCACGCUGGCGGCGUGCCUAAUACAUGCAAGUCGCGCGAACGGACGAGAAGCUUGCUUCUCUGAUGUUAGCGGCGGACGGGUGAGUAACACGUGGAUAACCUACCUAUAAGACUGGGAUAACUUCGGGAAACCGGAGCUAAUACCGGAUAAUAUUUUGAACCGCAUGGUUCAAAAGUGAAAGACGGUCUUGCUGUCACUUAUAGAUGGAUCCGCGCUGCAUUAGCUAGUUGGUAAGGUAACGGCUUACCAAGGCAACGAUGCAUAGCCGACCUGAGAGGGUGAUCGGCCACACUGGAACUGAGACACGGUCCAGACUCCUACGGGAGGCAGCAGUAGGGAAUCUUCCGCAAUGGGCGAAAGCCUGACGGAGCAACGCCGCGUGAGUGAUGAGGGUCUUCGGAUCGUAAAACUCUGUUAUUAGGGAAGAACAUAUGUGUAAGUAACUGUGCACAUCUUGACGGUACCUAAUCAGAAAGCCACGGCUAACUACGUG